rnacentral:rRNA from 1 species
GACGAACGCUGGCGGCGUGCUUAACACAUACAAGUCGAACGAUGAAGCCUAGCUUGCUAGGUGGAUUAGUGGCGAACGGGUGAGUAAUACGUGAGUAACCUACCUUUAACUCUGGGAUAAGCCUGGGAAACUGGGUCUAAUACCGGAUACGACCAAUCUCCGCAUGGGGUGUUGGUGGAAAGCGUUAUGUAGUGGUUAUAGAUGGGCUCACGGCCUAUCAGCUUGUUGGUGAGGUAACGGCUCACCAAGGCGACGACGGGUAGCCGGCCUGAGAGGGUGACCGGCCACACUGGGACUGAGACACGGCCCAGACUCCUACGGGAGGCAGCAGUGGGGAAUAUUGCACAAUGGGCGCAAGCCUGAUGCAGCGACGCCGCGUGAGGGAUGACGGCCUUCGGGUUGUAAACCUCUGUUAGCAGGGAAGAAGAGAAAUUGACGGUACCUGCAGAGAAAGCGCCGGCUAACUACGUGCCAGCAGCCGCGGUAAUACGUAGGGCGCGAGCGUUGUCCGGAAUUAUUGGGCGUAAAGAGCUUGUAGGCGGUUUGUCGCGUCUGCUGUGAAGGCCGGGGCUUAACCCCGUGUAUUGCAGUGGGUACGGGCAGACUAGAGUGCAGUAGGGGAGACUGGAAUUCCUGGUGUAGCGGUGGAAUGCGCAGAUAUCAGGAGGAACACCGAUGGCGAAGGCAGGUCUCUGGGCUGUAACUGACGCUGAGAAGCGAAAGCAUGGGGAGCGAACAGGAUUAGAUACCCUGGUAGUCCAUGCCGUAAACGUUGGGCACUAGGUGUGGGGGACAUUCCACGUUUUCCGCGCCGUAGCUAACGCAUUAAGUGCCCCGCCUGGGGAGUACGGCCGCAAGGCUAAAACUCAAAGAAAUUGACGGGGGCCCGCACAAGCGGCGGAGCAUGCGGAUUAAUUCGAUGCAACGCGAAGAACCUUACCAAGGCUUGACAUAUACUGGACCGCAUCAGAGAUGGUGUUUCCCUUCGGGGCUGGUAUACAGGUGGUGCAUGGUUGUCGUCAGCUCGUGUCGUGAGAUGUUGGGUUAAGUCCCGCAACGAGCGCAACCCUCGUUCUAUGUUGCCAGCACGUUAUGGUGGGGACUCAUAGGAGACUGCCGGGGUCAACUCGGAGGAAGGUGGGGAUGACGUCAAAUCAUCAUGCCCCUUAUGUCUUGGGCUUCACGCAUGCUACAAUGGCCGGUACAGAGGGUUGCGAUACUGUGAGGUGGAGCUAAUCCCUAAAAGCCGGUCUCAGUUCGGAUUGGGGUCUGCAACUCGACCCCAUGAAGUCGGAGUCGCUAGUAAUCGCAGAUCAGCAACGCUGCGGUGAAUACGUUCCCGGGCCU